UUAUUCCGAAAUUUCGAGAAGGAAAACGAGAGAAAUCGGUCUGAAUUUCGUUUUCAUCAACGGCAAAAUCUGCUACUUGAUUGAGGGUGUUUGGUUUGGAAGUCGAGAAAAUCUACUUCAAAUUCCACCAGAGAAUGGAAAAUUCGACAGCAAUUUCAUACCAUGAUAGAACAGAGAGCAGUUUUGGCAGAAAAGAAUUCUUCUAAUGGGAGAGAAACGCGAAGCUCUGAUGAAUACUUAGUUUCCUAGCUUCUUGAAGAUUUUGCAGUGAUCGGCGAAGUUUUUCAACUUUUAAGGUUUGAAGCUUAGUUGGAGACGAUCUUCAAUUCUAUAUGGAAGCUAUCACAAUGAAGACUUCAACGUUCUUAACCUAGCACCUUAG